rnacentral:rRNA from 1 species
GACGAACGCUGGCGGCGUGCUUAACACAUGCAAGUCGAACGGAAAGGCCCUGCUUUUGUGGGGUGCUCGAGUGGCGAACGGGUGAGUAACACGUGAGUAACCUGCCCUUGACUUUGGGAUAACUUCAGGAAACUGGGGCUAAUACCGGAUAGGAGCUCCUGCUGCAUGGUGGGGGUUGGAAAGUUUCGGCGGUUGGGGAUGGACUCGCGGCUUAUCAGCUUGUUGGUGGGGUAGUGGCUUACCAAGGCUUUGACGGGUAGCCGGCCUGAGAGGGUGACCGGCAACAUUGGGACUGAGAUACGGCACAGACUCGUACGGGAGGCAGCAGUGGGGAAUAUUGCACAAUGGGCGGAAGCCUGAUGCAGCAACGCCGCGUGCGGGAUGACGGCCUUCGGGUUGUAAACCGCUUUCGCCUGUGACGAAGCGUGAGUGACGGUAAUGGGUAAAGAAGCACCGGCUAACUACGUG